rnacentral:miRNA from 1 species
UGAGGCAGGAGAAUUGCUUGAACCCAGGAGGUGGAGGUUGCAGUGAGCCGAGAUCGCGCCACUGCACUCCAGCCUGGGCGACAAAGCGAGACUCCAUCUCA